ACGACGAAUCGGCUCUUUGCUCUGUUCUCUGAGACAGAAAUGUGGAUGUGAUUCUGAAUAUGGGUAACUCCAGGGUUAGUUGCGUUACAAAUUUCGUCAUUUCUGAGGCAUAAAGUGAGCUGUGUUGGCUAUGUUUUGCGGUAACAAAUCAGUCUAUAGAUUUUCUAAUACUCACGAGACCCAGUGCUUUCAUGCCAACAAGAAUUGGAAUUUUUAGCCUGCGAAGUGUGACUUGUGUGAUCGAAGAAAUCGGCGGUUAGUUGCGUUACACGUUUGUGACUUUUCGAUAUAUUUUCACCAAAUUAGUGAUGAAUUGCUAUUGAAUUGAUGGCUGCUCUUCCUAAUAACUAAUUAUUUCGCCUAAUUACUAAAUGUACUUAAGCUUAUGCACCAAUCUUAUGGAUUGAUUUGACAAUAACAUCA